rnacentral:misc_RNA from 1 species
AUGCGUAGACCUUGUGGUUGACUGGUGUGAGCACAUUUUAUGUUAAUACGAGGCUUCAUGUUCAUGUAUGAAAAUGACUUGACUUUUUAUUCCAAAACGUUUCAUCGAGUUAAAUGAAGAUUGGCAGUUGUGAACUUGUGAUAUUAAGUUGGAGAGGAGUAAUGAAUUUGUGGUUGAAUUUGCAACAACUAUCAGUCCUUGGGUUUUCUCAAAUGAUUCAGUUGAUUGUUUUGUGAUAGGUCUUCAAGUCAGUUAUUGUUGAUAAAAAAUUGGAAGAAUAAGAAGAGU